CUCUACCCACUAGGGAACUUAGCCGUGUAUAACAAGGGCAAUGUCCCAAAGAAAGUAGUUAGAAAAUCUUCUUGUAGAAUUUUAAAAACAAGUGAAUACUGGUUUGCAGUUACCUGUCAAACUUGCUUAGCUAAUAUGGCCUUGUUAAAGCAAAAGAAAUGACAAAAAACUAUUAUAAGGGGAAGCCCAUCUUAGUAAACUUACUAUUAUGAAGGGUUAAUUUUUAGAUGAUGUUGUAUAGUUUUAUCAUCCAUGUCUUCCCAUAAGAGAGCUUGACAGAAUGACAUGAUCCCCUUUUAUAGUCUCUUUUCAGUCUGCAUAUUACUGACAGCUUUUAUAUGAAGUCUUACCCUUCACACAAUAUUUAUCUAGAAAUUUUGGAAUAUACGCGUCCCCAUCCUUGCUUAACUUAAACUCUAGUUUCCUGGCAAUCCAAAUGUUGUCUUAGUAAACUGGAUCCCAUUACCACUAUAGUUCAGCAUACCAUGCUGGGAUGUCACAGUAGACUCCAGAAACUACACCUGCAAGUCCAGUGUGGCGCAACUAAGUUGGUGCAGAAACAGUUGUUAGGGUCAUGAUAUCUCCACUAGUUCUUGCAUUGAUUGCAGAGUUGACAACUUUUAAGAUCUGAUGAUGAUCAGCUCCCAUAUCCUCUGCAAUCUCAAUGCAAUGAGAUGCUACAAGCGCUGUAGCAGAUG